rnacentral:rRNA from 1 species
CACGUAGGGUGCGAGCGUUGUCCGGAAUUAUUGGGCGUAAAGAGCUCGUAGGCGGUGUGUCGCGUCGGCCGUGAAAACCUGGGGCUCAACUCUGGGCGUGCGGUCGAUACGGGCAUCACUGGAGUUCGGCAGGGGAGACUGGAAUUCCUGGUGUAGCGGUGAAAUGCGCAGAUAUCAGGAGGAACACCGGUGGCGAAGGCGGGUCUCUGGGCCGAUACUGACGCUGAGGAGCGAAAGCAUGGGUAGCGAACGGG